GAAUCAUCAAAAGGAUUUUAUCCGGCUUUACUGGAUGGAACUCGCGUCUGAUUAGAUAGUUGGCGGGGUUAACGGCCCACCAAGUCGACGAUCAGUAGCCGAACUGAGAGGUUGAUCGGCCACAUUGGGACUGAGACACGGCCCAAACUCCUACGGGAGGCAGCAGUGGGGAAUAUUGCACAAUGGGGAAACCCUGAUGCAGCGACGCCGCGUGAGUGAAGAAGUAUUUCGGUAUGUAAAGCUCUAUCAGCAGGGAAGUAAAUGACGGUACCUGACUAAGAAGCCCCGGCUAACUACGUG
rnacentral:rRNA from 1 species